AUGGAGCCCGGGCGGCGGCCGCGCUACUUCACCCCGCGCGAGGUGGAGGCGCACGCGCGGCCCCGCGACCUUUGGGUCAGCUUCCUGGGGCGCGUGCACGACCUCACCCCACUGGCGCGCGAGCACGAGGGUGACGUGUUGCUGCGGCCCAUCCUGGAGGCGGCGGGGACAGACAUCACCCACUGGUUCAACCCCAAGACGCGAGAUCUGCAGACCUGCGUGGAUCCUCUGACAGGCUGCCCUAGAUACUACACGCCCCAGGGCAGGGUCCUGCAUGUGCCCCCGCUGCUGCCUCGCUCUGACUGGGCCAACGACUUUGGGGUACCGUGGUGGAAGGAUGUCAAGUACGAGGUGGGCAUCUUGUCGGCCAAGACCCGGCUUGUCCGUGUCAUCAACACCCUCACGUCCCAGGAGCACAUGCUUGAGGUGUGUGCGGAGGAGUCGCUGUGGGAGAUCCUGCGGCGCUACCUGCCUAACAAUGCGCAUGCGGGCAGCUACACGUGGAAGCAUGCAGGUGCUGUGCUGGACAUGGAGCGCACGCUGGAGCAGAAUGGUCUGACUGAUGACGAUGAGGAGCUCUGGCACCUUGGCCUCGACCCCAGCCUCCAUGCCCCUGGCCUGCUGCUGCACUUCAAUGACGACCUCACCGAGCUCUAGCUCUCAGGUUCAAUCUUCAGUGGCCGCAAAUCGAUACAGCUUCACCCAGGUCAACUCGUUACAGCAAGGAGCAUUCUUGGAGGAUGCCAACUGGCAGCUCAGCAGAUGACAAAACCAGCUGAAGAUCCAAGCAGCCACAGAGAGAGGGAAGAAAAAAAACUCCAAAAAAACCUUGGAAAUUGCCUUUGAAAGAAGGAGAGAAAAAUGAAAACCAACUCAGGUUCCCUCUGGCCUCCAAAUUCCUCCCCAAUUGUUGGCUUCCAGCAGCACCGGGGAACUGUUUUGACAUGAAUGAAUAGGCUCGACGCCCAGGCUCCUGGGGGGCCGGAGGGGUGUUGAAUUAAAUAUAAAAGGCACAGAGGGAACCAUUUGGUUGGCAAGCUGCGAGUCCCUGCAGGCGAUGGGCAUAUCCUACGCGGGUAUUUAUGACUAUCCUACAGGGGGAAGAUUGCCGAGAAGGAAGCAGCAGACGCCGCGUUUCCAGGGAUGUGUGUGCAGAUCAGAGGCAUGUGAGGGGGAAGAGUCCAGGUGCUCCCACAGAAAAUCUCAGCCCCAUGAGAUUUAAUGCCAUAAUUAAACAUAUAAACACACCA